UUUGUCUCUGUCACGGUAAGAAAAGAGGAAAAAGAAGAGUGACGUGGCAGGGGCAUUCUUGUAAUUUUAAAAAGUCUCCGAGCCAUUUGCGGAAAAGAGAAUAUUAGAUUCCUUGCUCUUCUUCCUUUAUCCACGCAGAACAAUCCGGUUUGCUUUUUCAUACGCGUUUCCUUUUUCUCUGCAAAAACCACCCCCACCGCCACCGAGUCACACUCUCCGAGUCAUGAACUCGCUCUUCGUUUUUCCAUAGCAAGCACUCUCUGACAACGUAGAAAAGAAAGCCACCGCAUAUUCAUUUGCGAAUUAUGUUUUCCCGUUUUGCCCCUCGCUCACCUUUCUAUUUCCCAAUUUCUGCCACCCAACCUAAAACCCUAGUCGGCGCCAACCACACUUCGGCUCGGUUCUGCUCUAGAUAAAAGGAAAAGCCAUAAUCCAUCUUCUUCCUUUUUAAUUGCGCCAAAUUUUUUGUUAUUGAUUAUUCUGUAAGAAAUAAAGGGAAAAGAGAAGUGCGCUUUUUUAGCAUGGAACAGUCCGUAGGCAAGCCCAGUUCUCUCCGGAACUUCCUCGUAAGGUUUCUCCUUUUCGGCGUUUUGAUCAUCGGCGUUCGUUUCGCUUACAUCAUCGCUGUUGCUGGUGAGUCUUGCAACAUCGGCGACUUCUGUUUUUUCUCUCUGCCGCAGACUCUCAGCCUCGUCAUCGCCGGCACCGGUCCUCUCGCCGUCGAGUCUGUCUCCGGUGGCGGAUCGCUGCAGCCCGAGCUUUACACCAGUAAGGACUGGAUCAAAGGCGUUCGGUUCUACUCGUCAGCUUUUCAGGACCUGAUUGCCGGCGGUUACCUUUCGCUGCAGUCCAAGUCGCUGUGCGUGGAAACCCCGACCGGACGCGAUGUCUCCGCGCUGAGAGAGAUCGGCGUGAAAGACGCCGUCGGAAUUGCGCGGAAGGGGGUGAAGCCGCUUGUGAAGUUUGGCCGAGGUGAACGGAUUCCGUUCGGCAAUAGGACCUUCGAUUUUGUGUUCUCCGGCGAGGAUUCGUUCUUGCAGUCGGCGAAGCCGGCGGAUUUCGCGGCGGAGAUCGACCGGACGCUGAAACCUGGAGGGUUCGCAGUGUUCCAUUUUUCAAACCCUAAAGAUACGUAUAGUUUUAAUUCGUUCCUUGAUUUGUUUCAUUGUUUCAGAGUAGUGAAGUUGCAUGGCUUAGAAGGCUUUGAUUCUUCAAUACCGUAUAUACGUGAAAUUGUUUUGAAAAAAGAGUGUGGUGAUGGUGCUGGUAAAUUUGAUUUUGGUGAUUCAAAUGGAAAAUGUUACGUUCCUGGUUAUAAGCAUGAUUUGGUUAAGAUUGCUGAGCCUUUGAUUUCGGAGGAGCCUUUAAAGCCUUGGAUUACUUUGAAAAGGAAUGUGAAGAACAUAAAGUACCUUCCUUCAAUGGCGGAUAUAAGCUUUAAGAACAGGUAUUUGUAUGUUGAUGUUGGAGCUAGAAGCUAUGGCUCUAGCAUAGGGUCUUGGUUUAGGAAACAGUAUCCUAAGCAGAACAAGACCUUCCAUGUGUAUGCUAUUGAAGCAGACAAGACUUUUCAUCAGGAGUAUGCGUUGAAGAAGGGGAUCACUUUGGUUCCUUACGCUGCAUGGGUGAAGAACGAAACAUUGACGUUUGAGAUUCAUCGUGAUCCUGGGGAGCAUGUCGAUGUUAAAGGCAGGGGGAUGGGUAGGAUUCGGCCUGUGCAGUCUUUGGGGAAGGAGGAGUUUGAGGGCGAAGUGGAGAAGAUUCAGGGAUUUGAUUUUGCUGAAUGGUUGAAGAAGACUGUUACAAAGAACGAUUUUGUUGUGAUGAAGAUGGAUGUUGAGGGUACUGAAUUUGAUCUGAUUCCGAGGUUGUUUAAAACUGGAGCUAUAUGUUUGAUAGAUGAAAUUUUCCUCGAAUGUCAUUACAAUAGAUGGCAGAGAUGUUGUCCUGGGCAGAGGAGUGCUAAGUAUGAGAAAACAUAUGCUCAAUGCUUGCAGCUCUUCAAUUCCCUCAGACAAAGUGGAGUUCUUGUUCAUCAGUGGUGGUAAUUGCCCUAAUACGAUAGUGAUCUGUACUCCUAUAUCCAUAUUGCUGAAAACUCAAUCAAUUGAAAAAAUAUCUGGAGUCUGGAGGCAAAUAUGAUCAACUUUCCUAUAUAUCAGUUCCUAGACACGUUACUUUCCCGGUGGGUGUGAAGAUAAGUUCAAUUGGCUUUCGAUCGUGUAUGUGGGGUUGUCGCAAAGGCUCAUGGUAGUUGAAGAGAGACUAAAUGCACAGGAAAAAAAAAAUCUCAAUGUGUGACUCCAUUAUUAGUGACAGCUAAAAUAUGACCUAAAUUCUUAAGUGUGAGUUGCAACUUAGCUGGAUAUUGAUUACAAUCAAUAUUCCACAUGGAUGUGAACCACAUGUUAAGUGAAGAAAAGAACACAAAAAGACAAAACAUAACCGAAAAGGACCAUUAUUGGGAUUAAACCAAUAAAACUGGUUCGAUUUUUUUUUCUUUGAUCACUCGGCUUCAGCUAAAGUAAUAAGACUUUAUCCUUUAUUAAUUAUUGUAUCUUAGUUUCACAACAUGAUCACUCUUUACUUGACAUGGUGUGUGUUUGUUUUAUAGUUAUGUUGUACGGCACUCCCA